rnacentral:misc_RNA from 1 species
GACGGAGGACCCAAGCGUUAUUCGGAAUAACUGGGCGUAAAGAGUUGCGUAGGUGGUUUUGUAAGCAAAGCAUGAAAUCGUAAGGCUCAACCUUACCAUUGUGCUUUGAACUGCAAAACUAGAGUGUGGUAGAGGUAGCUGGAAUUUCUAGUGUAGGAGUGAAAUCCGUAGAUAUUAGAAGGAACACCGAUGGCGUAGGCAGGCUACUAGACCAUUACUGACACUGAGGCACGAAAGCGUGGGGAGCGAACGGG